ensembl:rRNA 5S_rRNA 5S ribosomal RNA
AGCCACAGCCAUAUCACCCUGCAGCCCAAGACUGGUUGCCCACUGAAGCUAAGCAGGGUUGAGCCUGGUCAAUACCUGGAUGGGAGACCUCCUGGGAAAACUAGGUUGCUGUUGAAA